AAGGCAAGGUGGGGUGGGGGUGUAUGGGGCGUUAUCCUUCUCCUUAGUCUCCUCUGCUGCUCUGCUUUUCUUUGCGCGUUUCUCUCCUCUUUCAAACUUUCAGCCCAUGUAGGAGUUUGGAGAAGGACGGUGGAAAACGGGACCCGAGAGCGCCGGAGCGGGUGUUCCCAGGCGGAGCGAGAACCAGAGUUCUACCUGCUGUUGGCUUUAACAGAACUUUCUCCCUCACUGCUCAGCUCAGGUGUGUGGCACGGUGAGCUCAUAUGAGCACUGAGCGUCGGAGAACGUCGAUCAACUGACCCAGAAAUUUGAUGCAGAUGUUUUUUAUGCAGUUUAAAGAAGUGAGGUGGAUAUAAUAUGUGAG